CCCUAGCACGGAUCACAAGAUUAGUGGAAUCUAAAUAUCAUGGAAUUUAGUAAUUUAAAUACCUGAAUUAUAUAUGUUGAAGUUUUCCACUAUUUAGUAAUUUUCUUAAAGAUAAUCAAAUACUAAAGAUUUUAAAUUUUUAUUUGGUGUUUCUAAAAUAAUGAUGUCAAGAAGCCACCGAAGUUUUACCCAGCUGAUGAUGUCAAGAAGCCGCUUCUUAACAAGCGAAAGCCUAAACCCACCAAGCUGGGGUAAAAAAUGGCAAGAAUUUUUUUUUUUCCCUUCUCUGUUUUGUGGCUUCUUUAUUUAUUUUUUUGUCUUAAUUUAUUAAUGUAUGUCUUAGGGAGAGUAUUACACCGGGGACAGUGUUGAUGUUAUAAGAAGGGAGGCUUAUGGGAAAGCGAGUUGUAUACUUGUCAAGAACAUCUUCCCAGCUGAGAAGAAGGAAGAUCAGAAAGCUGUGGAUGCCCCUGUGAUGAAGGCCAUCGAAGGCGUUGCGGAUUUGAAGUCGUACUCGGGUGCAAGAUUCUCUGUCAACUCAGGCACGAAACUCAUGAGCUUGUCUUCUAGGGAAAACGAUGUACUUAUCUCAUACUAUUCAUUUUUUUCUUCAAGAUUUUGAUUACCAUUGGCUGUAUGAUCUGUGAUAGUUAUGGCAAAGAAUCCAAGAUUUUGCAUGUUAACAGUCUUUGGUAGUUUGGUUUUCCAUCAGCAUCGUUUAUGGCCCAGUCUACUUGUUUAAUGUUUUUUCAGGUUCCUCUAGAGUUUUAUUCAGAUUUGUUAUUGAAUUUGUUGAAUCAAGUAAUUAACUUGUGAUUGCUUUUUAUGAAAUAACAUUCUACAUCUAGAGCAUCGUUA